rnacentral:tRNA from 1 species
GGGCGCAUAGCUCAGCUGGUUCAGAGCACCUGCCUUACAAGCAGGGGGUCCGCGGUUCGAAUCCGUGUGCGCCCA